GCCCGCCUAGCUCAAUCGGAUAGAGCGUCAGACUCUUAAAGGCGGGUAUCUGAAGGCUGCGAGUUCGACCCUCGCGGUGGGCU
rnacentral:tRNA from 2 species